rnacentral:rRNA from 1 species
UCGGGGUACACGAGCGGCGAACGGGUGAGUAACACGUGGGUGAUCUGCCCUGCACUCUGGGAUAAGCUUGGGAAACUGGGUCUAAUACCGGAUAUGACCGCAUGNCGCAUGGNGUGUGGUGGAAAGAUUUAUCGGUGCAGGAUGGGCCCGCGGCCUAUCAGCUUGUUGGUGGGGUAAUGGCCUACCAAGGCGACGACGGGUAGCCGACCUGAGAGGGUGACCGGCCACACUGGGACUGAGACACGGCCCAGACUCCUACGGGAGGCAGCAGUGGGGAAUAUUGCACAAUGGGCGGAAGCCUGAUGCAGCGACGCCGCGUGAGGGAUGAAGGCCUUCGGGUUGUAAACCUCUUUCAGCAGGGACGAAGCGUGAGUGACGGUACCUGCAGAAGAAGCACCGGCUAACUACGUGCCAGCAGCCGCGGUAAUACGUAGGGUGCGAGCGUUGUCCGGAAUUACUGGGCGUAAAGAGUUCGUAGGCGGUUUGUCGCGUCGUUUGUGAAAACCCGGGGCUCAACUUCGGGCUUGCAGGCGAUACGGGCAGACUUGAGUGUUUCAGGGGAGACUGGAAUUCCUGGUGUAGCGGUGAAAUGCGCAGAUAUCAGGAGGAACACCGGUGGCGAA